rnacentral:rRNA from 1 species
AAAUUGAAGAGUUUGAUCAUGGCUCAGAUUGAACGCUGGCGGCAGGCCUAACACAUGCAAGUCGAACGGUAGCACAGAGGAGCUUGCUCCUUGGGUGACGAGUGGCGGACGGGUGAGUAAUGUCUGGGAAACUGCCCGAUGGAGGGGGAUAACUACU